GUAACAAGGUUUCCGUAGGUGAACCUGCGGAAGGAUCAUUACCAAACAAACCGCGGCCUAAAAACCGCACACUCCGUCCGGGUUCGGGCCCAGCGGCAGUGUCAACCUGCUGUGAACCAGAGUCCUGUGCUUCGGCAGCGGGACCGGCCGGGUCAACCGGUCGGGCCGUGAGCCUGCCAGCAGCGAACUUUGCAAACCUGCAUCAAACCGGCAGUCGUUCACGCAUUCCGAAUGGAAUCAAAACUUUCAACAACGGAUCUCUUGGUUCUCGCAUCGAUGAAGAACGCAGCGAAACGCGAUAGUUAAUGUGAAUUGCAGAAUUCAGUGAAUCAUCGAGUCUUUGAACGCACAUUGCGCCCUCCGGCAUUCCGGAGGGCAUGUCUGUUUGAGCGUCAUCUCAACCCUCGUCUCUGGCGGUUUUGGGCUCCGAUCACCAACCGGGCCUUAAAGUUGAACGCUCCGCGGGCUGCCUGACCGGCGAACAUGGUGGAAUUGCUUCUGUUCCAACCGGUCGUGGCCGUCCGCCUGAACAAGAACCCCCUUCAGGUUUGACCUCAGAUCAGACAAGGAUACCCGCUGAACUUAAGCAUAUCAAUAA
rnacentral:rRNA from 1 species